GUGAGCCUACGGGGGGCAGCAGUGGGGAAUACUGGGCAAUGGGCGCAAGCCUGACCCAGCAACGCCGCGUGAAGGAAGAAGGCUUUCGGGUUGUAAACUUCUUUUGUCAGGGACGAAGCAAGUGACGGUACCUGACGAAUAAGCCACGGCUAACUACGAGCCAGCAGCCGCGGUAAUACGUAGGUGGCAAGCGUUGUCCGGAUUUACUGGGCGUAAAGGGCGUGCAGCCGGGAAGACAAGUCAGAUGUGAAAUCCCGCGGCUCAACCGCGGAACUGCAGUUGAAACUGUUUUUCUUGAGUACCGG
rnacentral:rRNA from 1 species